rnacentral:misc_RNA from 1 species
AUUUUGAGCUACACGGGGUCAACAGGAGCUGUCUAGCUCGACUUAUGUUCAUUUAAACGCACUGGACUCAUAGGUCCAGAAUUCCUUGCAUAAAAACAACACUUCCAAUACCACCUUCCCACACUAUUACCAUCCACAAAUCACAUUCCAUGCACUUCAAUUAGUCCAUAAUUGGUCUCAACAUCAACAAUUUAUCAACAUAUCAUUAAAUUCCUAAUUUUUAUAUCAAACCCUAGCUCCAAUUCAAGAUUUACACAACACAUAUCACAUUAGGCAUACUAAUCAAUUUCUAAUUGAUGUCUACACAUCAAACACCAUUUCUAAGCCAUUCAAAUCCAUAAAAAGCCAUCAAACCCUACAUCCUUUCAUGGCUGCCAAAAUCUAGGUCUUUCUUUUCACGUAUGGAUUUCAAUUUUUUCCAUGUAAUUUACUCAUACUUAACCUUGAUUUAAACAUUAGAAAGGAAAAGAAGAGAGAAGCUAGUACUAACCUCUUAGUGAGCAAUUCCCAACUUCCAAAACUUCUUGAUUUCCAAUUCUUUUUGCUGCUUCUAGCUUGCCCAAAGUGUAAGCUCAAAUUUUAUUAAAGAGAGGUAGGGUUUUUAUGGUGGGUUUAAGUGGGAAAGGAAGCUUUGUUGAAGGAAAAUGGUGGAGCUCUCAUGGAAGAUGGUUUAGCCAGCCACAAGGAGAAAGAAGAUGGGCAGAUUUUUAAUUUCAUUUUCAGCCCCUUUUUGUGUUUUAAGUGUAUUUGGUGAAUGGCGAUUGGUGGAAGAGGUUUUUAAUGACAUCAUCUUAUGUCAUAAUUAGAUUUUACUUUAUUUUUAUUUUCUUUUUCUUUCUUCUUCCUUUACUUAUUUUUAAUAAAAUUUUUCUUCACUAGUAACUCACAUUUUAUGUCAUAAAUCUCAUUUACUUAAAUGGACAAGUUGGUCAAAAAUCAUCUCUGAAGACGAAAUGACCAAAAUGUCCUCCGUUUGGCUUAUUAAGCCAAAAUCGUCUGUACUGAUCGAAAAUUAUUUUUAAACCUUUUCUUGGCAUUCUAAUGCCAAAGAAAUCUCAAUGACUCUUCUCUGGAGUCCUAAAAAUUAUUUCAUGAAUUUUCUCUCGGGUUUAGGGCUUCUAGCUGCGAAGACCGCAACUUCCCACUGGGUUACCCAUCACUAAGGCACCGACUCAUUUAACUUGAUUGUAUUUUAUUUCUAAAAUUUUUACUAAAUUUUUCUUAUUAAUAUUUG